AGAUUGAACGCUAGCGGGAUGCUUUACACAUGCAAGUCGAACGGCAGCGCGGACUUCGGUCUGGCGGCGAGUGGCGAACGGGUGAGUAAUAUAUCGGAACGUGCCCAGUAGCGGGGGAUAACUACGCGAAAGCGUGGCUAAUACCGCAUACGCCCUACGGGGGAAAGGGGGGAUCGCAAGACCUCUCACUAUUGGAGCGGCCGAUAUCGGAUAGUCUAGUUAGGUUGGGGUAAGGCGUAA
rnacentral:rRNA from 1 species